GCCGCGGUGAUACGUAGGGUGCGAGCGUUGUCCGGAUUUAUUGGGCGUAAAGGGCUCGUAGGUGGUUGAUCGCGUCGGAAGUGUAAUCUUGGGGCUUAACCCUGAGCGUGCUUUCGAUACGGGUUGACUUGAGGAAGGUAGGGGAGAAUGGAAUUCCUGGUGGAGCGGUGGAAUGCGCAGAUAUCAGGAGGAACACCAGUGGCGAAGGCGGUUCUCUGGGCCUUUCCUGACGCUGAGGAGCGAAAGCGUGGGGAGCGUCGACGCGGCCG
rnacentral:rRNA from 1 species